AUCUUCAACCGUAAUUAAUGUGGUAUCUUCACGCCAGACGUCGUUGGAACGUGGCGGCGUGGAUAGUAACAAUGGUGCACCUCCCGAUGGGAGAGUGGCGUCGCCCUCACCACCACAGACGCCGUAACUUAUGCCUCUGGCGAACUCGAGAAAGCUGGCAGCCACGGAGCUCUCGGUUCGAGACCAAACUACCAAGAACGCGACCAAUUGGGACCAUGGUUCCGGGUUGGGAUCAACACAACAACUACGGUAACAGGGUGCCCGGCCCUACCUUGGACCGCCUGCACCAUCUGUCAUUCCUCGGUCCUCCGCAGGUGCAGCCUUAUGAGAAUGCAAUGGCCUUCCUGGUUUGGUUCAUUCGAUGAUGACAAUGUUCUUAAUCUACCUUCAGAUAUGCCUUAUCCUAUCUUUUAUGUUGCCACUCAGCCAGCCACCUUCUGGGGUCUGCCCUUUGUUGCUCAUCCGGCAGUGCCCCUUGCAAUGGUUAUUUCAGCUGUUGAACCGCAACGUGCUAAUCUAUUGAAGCAGAUAGAUUACUAUUUCAGAUCAGACAAACAACAAGCAGCAAAAAAUUCAUGUUGGAUAUGUUGCAGUUGUCAUCUGUAGUCGAAGUACAGGUUGAAUCAAAAAAAGAAAAAGGAAACUAUAAAAGAGCGGAUUUGAAGAGAUGUUGAUGCGAGAUUUCUGGUGGUGAUGACCUUUUUCAGUCAAUAGAACAUUUAAAAGCUGAUCCUUUAAAAGGCUUCUUUCAGCUCGUCCUCGUAGAACAGAACUCGAGUGGAAGCUACGGGCUUGAAGAUUGGCCUCGGCAGACCCGGUG